ACAUUUGGUUUUGUUUUUUCAGUGUUCACUGAUUUUUGAUUGAUGGAUAACACUUUUUUAUUAUUUUAGAAUACCAGUUGAUGACUGCUGUGCAGUGGAAAUAUCGAUCAUCUUUCUUGAUAAAACCUCAAUAUAUCAUCAGGAGCAACCGGUAUUAAUUUUGUGCUCCUUGAUAUGUUUUUUCCCUCCAAAAAUGGACAGUCUCUGACUUAAAUUUUAUCAAUCACCAAAGGCCACAUUUUCAGCUAAAAAUCUUCUUUGCUGUUCUGCUGAAGAAAAAUACUCAUGAACAUCUUGGGUGGCGUAAGGAUCUUUGCAGGAUUCAGUCGCAUAUCUCGGAUCUGAGUUCUGCGCAGCACUGGACACAGACUCUGCACUUUUGACAUUUUCUAGAAAAAAGGAUUUAAAAUUUCACAUCAAGUUAAUUAAAAGGUAUCUCUUUAUCAUGUUGACUGUAGUUGUCAUCUUUAAAUCAUGAUUUGCUUAUGAUUGUUAUCCUCAGCCUGUCUCUAUUUUUUCAUAGUCAUCUGAUGUUUCCACUGCAGUACUUCAGGACCUUUCAGUGAUCCUGGAGGAUGACCCAGAGGAAUUUUACAGGAUGUGUUUCGUAAGUAUUACUGGAUUUUCUGCUCUCAUCAUUUUGUUUUAUUCAAUAUGAAUAUAGUUCAGGUUAUGAAAAAUUGUCAAAGGUUCUGUGUAUUAU